ACUCUUAAGUAACAACUCAAAAUUCUGAUCACCGAACCAUGCGAUCGAAAUCCAUCUUCGCGAUCAGAAUCAGCAUGUACUUCCUUUAAGUUUCUUCACUUUUUCUUUGAUUCUUAAAAUAUCAACAUGUGACCUCGUCACAUUUGUCACACCCCGAAACCGAAGGCGGAAACGUCUCGGGGCGGAGGUGACUUCAUGUGAAUCAUAACCAAUGUACGUAGUAAGCGAAGUAAAACACAAAACAUUACAUUACAUAGAUUUCAUUACAUCAGUUGAAAAGUAAAGUAGUACAAGCUUCAUAGAUAUAUAGUUUAAACAAAAGAAAGACGAUUCUUCUACGCACUCCGUCUUCACCAAAAGAGAUCGUCGGGUACCUGUCUAAAGUGGACCUGAGAAUACAAGCGGUUUGAAAAUCAGCAUAAAGCUGGUGAGUUCAUAAGCGGUUAUUUUAUGAAAAGAACGAGUUCCUCUAGUUUCCUGAAAAAGUGGUUAACCAAUAAAAUCCCAUAUUUUGUUAAGAGUUAAAUACCAAAUCCAAAUUGUAAUGUAAAAGAUGUACAAUAAAAAAAAAUGAUUGUUCAAAUGAUUUUGUAAAGUAUAUUUAUUUAACUUAUACCACUUUUCUGGUUACAAACUACUGUUACUCAGGAAAAUCCUAUAUUUUCCUAUGUGUGAAAGUGUGAGCUAUUACUGAUUUCGUGUGAGCUAACUGUUACUGAUUCCGAUUAUGUUCAUUAUUAUCCAUAGGAAAACCCCAUGUUUUCCUGAUUGUGUGUGUGUGCAAUUACCAAUUCUAAGUGUGCUAAUUGUUACCAGUUCUGAUUAUGUUCAUUGUUAUCCAUAGGAAAACCCCAUGUUUUCCUGAAUGUGUGUAUGUGUGUGCCUGACACCCUUGAACGUACAUUAGCUUUACUACGCACAUAAAGCUAGUAAUUGAAUAGAAAGCGUUAAUAAUCUAGAUUGCGAGUCCUUAACCAUAUUCAGACUAGAUAUGACUCGAGUCGUGGUCAGUAUCCUUUUUAUGACUUUUGUCACCCUUAAACCUUUCGGUUCGGCUGUAGCUAGCAGCCAUGUGGGAAUUGUCAGUCCCGUAUAGAUCUAUACACUCAAGUCACGCUCUCCUACGAUCGGAGAUUCUGGUUACAGGGGUAGUCCUCCAUUCUCAAGCCACGGGACGUGUUACAGAGGAUGUGUCUCCAAUCUUUAAGAUCACUCUUUACUCUUCGACUAGGAAAGUAGUAUCUACGACUAACUAAGUUCUAACAUACCUGUCCUUUACACUUGGGCCCAGGUGUUAUUAUUAAGGACAUUACAAAAGUUCUACGUUUUCUAAUGACGACUAUCCAUUUACACUCGAGCCGAGGUGCAUUAUUAAAGACAUUACAAUGUUCUAUAUUAUCAAAUGACUGUUGUCCUUUACACUCGAGCCUAGGUGUAUUAUUAAUGACACACCGAAGUUUUAUGUUUUCUUUAUGGUGUUUGACUUUUAUACUCAUGCCUAUGGUAUUUUAUUACAGACUUUACAGUGUUUUAUGUUUUCUAUCAAUAUAAGUAUCAACAAUCAAAUGUGAAGUAUACAAUAUGACAGUAUAUAAUAAGAAUUGAAAAUCGGUUUUUUAACAAAUAACUCUGCAAGUUAAAACAGUUUGUUAAAAGGGUUUUCAAUCCUUAAAAAUGUACAAGUAUGAAACCAUUUAACUAAAAUCAUAAGUUUAAGUACAAGAUAUUCUUGUACUCUUGCUUGUAUUCCCCCCCUGAAAACAUUGAAGAACCAUUGAAAAAGGGUAGGGGUAUGAACUCACCGGACGCGGAAAUGUGUCGAAUGGGAUGCUAAAAGUUGAACCGAGGCUUGAAUACGAGCGAGGUUCCUAUGUAAUAUUAAAUAAUACACAAUAUAUAUCUAAUUAGAUUUAAAUAACUAAUUAGAUACACUUGAACAUUCUAAGACGUGAAAACACUCCAAAAUGAGCGUUUGAAGUGACCCGGGUGGCGUUUCAAGACAUGAAUGGCUAGGAUAUACAGUUUACUCUCCAAGGGUAGACUCUUAGGGAGUGUUUACGGCCUAAACACCACAUCCCCAUGAGUUUACGGCCGUAAAAUCAUGGGAGGUGUUUUUAUGAGCUAAAAGGCCUAAAAUCAAUUAAGAGGUGUUGCUAGGUUUGGUUUUUGGACAUUUGAAAGGGAUUAAAUCAUUAUAUGAGUUAAUAGAAGAGUUUAGGGCUGUAAACUAAGAGUUUACGGCCAUAAACUCUCACCCACAUCCAACUUAAUUACUUUGAAGGCCAAGGAUUAAUCACAAGUGAUUCAACUAAUUUUUACAAGGCUUAGGGUGAGUUUAUGGCUUCAAAUGGCAUCCAUCUAGGAGUUUACGGCCCUGGAGCAUAUGCUCUGGCCGUAAACUCUCAAUUAGAGAGUUUAUGAUAUGUUUAAGUCCCCUAAAUGAUUUUUGGUUGGUUCCAUAAUUUAUUCCAAAGCCUAAGGGGUGUGUAAGUUGCAUUUUAACACCCAAAAGAGGAGUUUACCACCCAUUUAUAUGAGUUUAUGGCCCAAGCUUGUUCUUGAGCAGUAAACUCUUGUUUACUCCUCAAAAAUGACAUUCAAGGUGUUCCAAGUCCAUUCCAAUAAUUCCUUUAGCCAUAUCUAAGCUCCUAUGGUGAUUUGGAAGGGUUUUAAGGCUUAAAAACCCCAAUUACAUGUGUUCACGGCCUAAGGCUGAUCCAGGGCCGUAAACACAUGUUUAUGGUCCUAUCACAUGAUUUAAACACGAAAUUGAAAGCUAAGGAUGUUAUACUAGGAGCUAGGAUGCUUACCUUGGUGUUUUAAGGCUUGAAAUGGUUGAUUUUUGGCUUAACAAGAUGGAUUUGAGGAGAGAGGUUAGAGAGAGUGAAAAAGCUUCAAAUGAGGCAGAAUCCACUUUAAAUAUGGUUUUACUCGGAUACACGGUGGAAUUUUACCCGAUACCGACGGUAACCGAUGCUUUGGGUCGCACCCGAUUAAGUUGUCGUUACUCGAUAUGGUCGAAACUAUAAUUUUUCAAAUUACUAGUUCGGGACGUUUUCACAUGUUUCCAACAUGUUUGGAUACUUACCAAGUCAAAAUAAAGGUUUUGACUUAAUUGACCUAGUUCAGGACGAAAUCGGAACAAUUCGCUUAAGACGAGUUUUGACGGAACGGUUACGGCGAGGAAGCAAAGUUUCGGGUUGUUACAUUAUCCCCCCGUUAGAGGGAAUUUCAUCCCGAAAUUCAAGAAUUUUGAUACAAAAUUAUGGACAAAAGGUGUGGAUGUGUCUGCUAUAUCGGGUCUUCGCGCUCCCAUGUGUAUUCAGGUUCUCGCUUGGAACCUUCACGGGAUGUGGCUCGAUUUCAUACGCUUGAUUACUUGGUCUAUGAUCUUAGUUUGCUCGUCCAGAGAGUUUGGGUAUAUCAAGGUUCUUGGUCACACUAGAAUGGAUUUGUAUGGUUUUAUCAGGCAGGUAUUCAUUAAGGAUAGAGGUGCAAGGUACAGGAUGAACGCUGCUAAUUACUGAAGGUAUUUCGGAGCUGAAGGCUGAGGAAUCAAUCCGAAUGGGGAUCUUAAAGGGUCUAAUGUACCACAUACUAAGUUUUCCAUGCCUUAUCAAGUUUACUAUGGGUGUCUUUGGUGCCGAACAAUUCUCUAUUGCUUCGAUCUUAGGAGGAUCUACGCGUAUGUCUUCAUUGACUACUACAUGACCGGAGGAAAAUGGUUUGACCGAAGGGUAUCAAUGCGAACUCUCAGUGAUCAUAUCUAAUCCUGAAUGCUGUCUUUAAAACAUGAACUCGUUGUUGGUGGUGUCUCGACUUGAGGCAUAUCUUCGAGGAGUAGUUGGCUCCCUGAAGUUAUCGAAGAAAUCGUCUAUUCAGAAAAGAGAAUAUCGGUUUUGACGGUCAACUCAUUAAGCCGAUUAGAUAACUCCUGCAUUUUUGCUGGAGCAAAGCGAUACGGAGGUUUGGCUACGGGGAUAGAUCUAGGGAUUAAGUUGAUACGAGACUCAACUUGGCGUUCGGUAAGAAUUCUCGGGAUCUAUUCGGAAAGAUAUCAGGAAUAUUAUAGUCCUCGGAGACGUUCUUGGGGUCUUUAACUCCUUGUUUCUCGCUGAUCAUAUGGACUAGGAAUACUUGACACUUCUUUCGCAGGAACUUUCGAGUUUUGAUGCAUUGAACGAAGCGAAGAUUUGGGCUAAACUCGCCACCAUGAAUUAUGAUGGUCUGAUCAGAAUGAAGAUUGAGACGAACAACUUUCUAUAACGAGGUGUAUCAACACAGUCGGGGCUCAAUCGAUACAUAAUAAGGAUAACAUCAAAGCUCUUACUAAAACUGACAUCGGGUUAAUGAGAAAUGAAUGAUUACUCAAGAUAAGGACACAACGUAGAGAUCAGUCGUUUAUACACUCAUUCUCACUGGCAACUAUCUUGACGGUAAUUGUUUAUGGUUGUCAAACGAGGACUAUGUUUUACAAGAUAAUUGAAUGAAUGACUAAUUUAACUUUCUUGACACUAUAUUCGAAGAGGAUGUGAGCAUAAGGAUAGUUGGUAAGAAAUAUACCCGUGAUGUUAGUGGGAUUGGCGGCUGCAUCCUCCUGCUUCAAAGCUAAGACCAUUCCGACGUUGUUGACAUUGUUGGGGGUUGUUGCUUUUGGGCAGUUUCGCUUGAAAUGCCCAAUUUCUCCACAACUAUAGCAGACCUGUUCGAUACUUGAUUCAGAAGUUUGUUCGAGGUGUUGGACUAGUGUUCUGCAGCUUCUAGCAAGAUGACCUUUCUUGCCACAGCGUUUGCAAAUCAUCUUGCGACAUGGGCCAGGAAUAUAAUGAUGAUAACUACACCUGCUGCACCAAGGGAGAUUACCAGAAUACCCAGUGACAGGUGCUUGAGCCUUAGACGAAAUAACAGGAGUAGUGGUAGCUUGAACUAUAGGAACAACGGCAGGAUUGGUAGCAACUUGGACUGCCACAUAUUUGAGUCUCUUGGAGGGUCCUUGGGAACUCUGACCCUUUCGCUUUUUCCAGAUAACCUUAUUACUCUCAUCAAACUCAUGCUGAUGCUCCUGAACAUUUUCACGGUUUUGGGGGUAGGGGUUAUAUCCUGGACCAAUGGACUUCUUAGGGUUCAAGAUCGUCAUUGCAGCCGUCACUGCAGCAGAAACAGCCAGUUGGAACAUCACAGGAUCGAAGCGAGAUGAGGGUGGAGACGAAGGGUCGUUGUUCUUCGAGCUGGGUUCUUUCCUUGAAGAAAUCUCGAUCUAAAAGUUUAGGAAAAGAGGAUAAUAAGUCCUCUAAAUUGAAUCAAGAGAUAUGAAACAAAGGAUAUCUCUUUAUGACAGACAUAUAAUUCUAUUAGGCGAAUAAGCAAGAAUGAAUUAUCAAAGCAGACAUUUAUCGCUAACGGAAUGAUCGAGGGGCAAUGCUUGAAUGAGGAAUUUCUAUUACAAGGUUGGAUCCAGAAAUACUCCCAUAGUAUUUCACGAUUCUCCGCAACGACGAUUCAUUGUUUGUGGUAUUUGGGUAAGUUUUAGGUAUCCCGCAUUCCACAGUCACUACCAAGCACAUGUUGGCCGUGUCUCGAAUGAAUAUAGUUGAUCAGGCUAUAUUGAUCCUAGACACGACUACGUAACCGCCUAGGUUUAACUGCAGCAUACAACACCCAUUUACUUAUGUUUUGUUCUACUAAUAGAUAUGAUUCUCGACGGCUAGGAUACUUGUAUACUUUUUGAAAAUAUUUAUAUUUGAGAUAUACUUUUAGUUCAGAGCACUUAGGCCCCUUAAUGUUUAUAGUCUUAUACCAUGUAAAGUUUGGUAUACUUAGUUCACUAUAAACAAUGGCUCUGAUACCAAUCUGUCACACCCCGAAACCGAAGGCGGAAACGUCUCAGGGCGGAGGUGACUUCAUGUGAAUCAUAACCAAUGUACAUAGUAAGCGAAGUAAAACACAAAACAUUACAUUACAUAGAUUUCAUUACAUCAGUUGAAAAGUAAAGUAGUACAAGCUUCAUAGAUAUAUAGUUUAAACAAAAGAAAGACGAUUCUACUACGCACUCCGUCUUCACCAAAAGAGAUCGUCGGGUACCUGUCUAAAAUGGACCUGAGAAUACAAGCGGUUUGAAAAUCAGCAUAAAGCUAGUGAGUUCAUAAGCGGUUAUUUUAUGAAAAGAAUGAGUUCCUCUAGUUUCCUGAAAAAGUGGUUAACCAAGAAAAUCCCAUAUUUUCUUAAGAGUUAAAAACCAAAUCCAAAUUGUAAUGUAAAAGAUGUACAAUAAAAAAAUGAUUGUUCAAAUGAUUUUGUAAAGUAUAUUUAUUUAACUUAUAACACUUUUCUGGUUACAAACUACUGUUACUGAUUCUGUGUGAGCUAACUGUUACUGAUUCCGAUUAUGUUCACUAUUAUCCAUAGGAAAACCCCAUGUUUUCCUGAAUGUGUGUGUGUGUGUGCAAUUACCAAUUCUAAGUGUGCUAAUUGUUACCAGUUCUGAUUAUGUUCAUUGUUAUCCAUAGGAAAACCCCAUGUUUUCCUGAAUGUGUGUAUGUGUGUGCCUGACACCCUUGAACGUACAUUAGCUUUACUACGCACAUAAAGCUAGUAAAUGAAUCUAAAGCGUUAAUAAUCUAGAUUGCGAGUCCUUAACCAUACUCAUACUAGAUAUGACUCGAGUCGUGGUCAGUAUCCUUUUUAUGACUUUUGUCACCCUUAAACCUUUCGGUUCGGCUGUAGCUAGCAGCCAGGUGCGGAAUUGUCAGUCUCGUAUAGAUCUAUACACUCAAGUCACGCUCUCCUACGAUCGGAGAUUAUGGUUACAGGGGUAGUCCUCCACUCUCGAGCCACGGGUCGUGUUACAGAGGACGUGUCUCCAAUCUUUAAGAUCAUUCUUUACUCUUCGACUAGGAAAGUAGUAUCUACGACUAACUAAGUUCUAACAUACCUGUCCUUUACACUCGGGCCUAGGUGUUAUUAUUAAGGACAUUACAAAAGUUCUACGUUUUCUAUCAAUAUAAGUAUGAACAAUCAAAUGUGAAGUAUACAAUAUGACAGUAUAUAAUAAGAAUUGAAAAUCAGUUUUUAAACAAAUAACUCUGCAAGUUAAAACAGUUUGUUAAAAGGGUUUUCAAUCCUUAAAAAUGUACAAGUAUGAAACAAUUUAACUAAAAUCGUAAUUUUAAGUACAAGAUAUUCUUGUACUCUUGCUUCUAUUCCCCCCCUGAAAACAUUGAAGAACCAUUGAAAAAGGGUAGGGGUAUGAACUCACCGGACGCGGAAAUGUGUCGAAUGGGAUGCUAAAAGUUGAACCGAGGCUUGAAUACGAGUAAGGUUCCUAUGUAAUAUUAAAUAAUACACAAUAUAUAUAUAUAUCUAAUUAGAUUUAAAUAACUAAUUAGAUACACUUGAACAUUCUAAGACGUGAAAACACUCCAAAAUGAGCGUUUGAAGUGACCCGGGUGGCAUUAGAUCGGAAGAGCGGUUCAGNUGAAUGGCUAGGAUAUAGAGUUUACUCUCCAAGGGUAGACUCUUAGGGAGUGUUUACGGCCUAAACACCACAUCCCCAUGAGUUUACGGCCGUAAACUCAUGGUGGGUGUUUUUAUGAUCUAAAAGGCCUAAAAUCAAUUAAGAGGUAUUGCUAGGUUUGGUUUUUGGACAUUUGAAAGGGAUUAAAUCAUUAUAUGAGUUAAUAGAAGAGUUUAGGGCUGUAAACUAAGAGUUUACGGCUGGAAAAUCUCACCCACAUCCAACUUAAUUACUUUGAAGGCCAAGGAUUAAUCACAAGUGAUUCAACUAAUUUUUACAAGGCUUAGGGUGAGUUUAAGGCUUCAAAUGGCAUCCAUCUAGGAGUUUACAGCCCUGGAGCAUAUGCUCUGGCCUUAAAAUCUCAAUUAGAGAGUUUAUGAUAUGUUUAAGUCCCCUAAAUGAUUUUUGGUUGGUUCCAUAAUUUAUUCCAAAGCCUAAGGGGUGUGUAAGUUGCAUUUUAACACCCAAAAGAGGAGUUUACCACCCAUUUAUAUGAGUUUACGGCCCAAGCUUGUUAUUGGGCAGUAAACUCUUGUUUACUCCUCAAAAAUGACAUUCAAGGUGUUCCAAGUCCAUUCCAAUAAUUCCUUUAGCCAUAUCUAAGCUCCUAUGGUGAUUUGGAAGGGUUUUAAGGCUUAAAAACCCCAAUUACAUGUGUUCACGGCCUAAGGCUGAUCCAGGACUGUAAACACAUGUUUAUGGUCCUAUCACAUGAUUUAAACACGAAAUUGAAAGUUAAGGAUGUUAUACUAGGAGCAAGGAUGCUUACCUUGGUGUUUUAAGGCUUGAAAUGGUUGAUUUUUUGCUUAACAAGAUGGAUUUGAGGAGAGAGGUUAGAGAGAGAGUGAAAAAGCUUCAAAUGAGGCAUAAUCCACUUUAAAAAUGGUUUGACUCGGAUACACGGUGGAAUUUUACCCGAUACGGACGUUAACCGAUGCUUUGGGUCGCACCCGAUUAAGUUGUCGUUAGUCGAUAUGGUCGAAACUAUAAUUUUUCAAAUUACUAGUUCGGGACGUUUUCACAUGUUUCCAACAUGUUUGGAUACUUACCAAGUCAAAAUAAAGGUUUUGACUUAAUUGACCUAGUUCAAGACGAAAUCGGAACAAUUCGCUUAAGACGAGUUUUGACGGAAGGGUUACGGCGAGGAAGCAAAGUUUCGGGUUGUUACAACAUUAUGCAAUAAGAAUCUCAGAAUAGAAACUUAAUAGAGUUAGACAAUGGACUUUACCUGAAGUAGAGUCAAACCUAUUGACUUUACCAUCCUUAAGACGUUUAAGGUAAAUUUAGCAGCUUCGCAACCAAUGUCUUUCCUUUGGCAACAGAAUCUUAUGGACUCUUUGGAAAUGGUACAUGGGACUAUCACAGACUUAACCUUUCUCUUUACCAUUUGGUCAACCGAGUUGACUAUGGCCGAUCCCUUUCCAUUGGGAAGAGAAAGUUUUUCCUGGACCUCCAAUGUCACCAUUUUCAAUGUCCAAAUAGGUUUGGAAAGUAGAUCUUCCAAUCCAAUUUGCUUUACUAAUGCUCCAAAUCACUGCUGAUUUAGCAUCAUCAAGCAAAUAGGUAAGAUCAUUAAGGGUCUUGUCGCGACCUGUCAUCAGGGAGUGACUGAAGAACCAAGUCAGCAGCCAGCUACCUCGAGACUUCGACACCCGACUCUCCCGACUUGUCAAUAUGUGGCUUAAUCCCCAAGAUCUAAGCACAUAUAGACUUUGCUUGCCAAUAGGGAUUGAGUGACUUAGAACUUAUCAAGUCUUAAAACUUGUGGGAUAGGGAGAUUUAUUGGAGGAGGUGGAUGAAGUGAAGUAUGAUUUCUAGUCCCACAAAUUCCCAGCAAAGGGAUUGAUCUUUCACCUUGAUUGCCAUUUGGGAUAUCAUCUUCAUUAGGAAGCUUGUUCCUAAAGAUUUCGGAAGACCAUAGCUGUCUAAACU
rnacentral:lncRNA from 1 species